rnacentral:misc_RNA from 1 species
GGAUCCCCACCUACGAUUCCAGGUAAUACAUUUUAUCAUAAUAUUGUCUAGAUUUCUUAGGCAAUCUAGUCAGUUUUACAGAGGUAUCUUUAUUAAAUUUGAUUAUUAGUUAAGUCUCCAUGAUAAAUAUAACAAUGUAGUCUUCAUGUAUGAAGAUUAGAUGUAUUUGGUUCUACUUAUAGUAAGCAUCAUGUCAGAUAAGGCAAACAUUGAACUUGCUGCUCUCUUAAAUUACUUAAUUUUAGAUAUUGCGUAGGGUACUCAUUAAAUCAUUGAUUUUUGACAUUUUCAUUUCUAUUAGUAGUUGGAUGAAACUUGCCUGGUUCUAAAAUUUAUUGCUUCUAUAUGGUAAAUUAUCUUAUAUGUUAUUUCAGUAUCAUAAAUCUCACACAAGCUGCAUUGGAAAUAUAUUUGUUUGCUGACAUUGCUUGUCUUUUAAAAUGCAAUCAUGUCUGCUACAUCAAAAACACGUUCACAAUGAAAGUAAUACACGGUUCAUUGAAAAUUUCAGGCGGAGCAACACUAAUAUUUG